rnacentral:SRP_RNA from 1 species
ACGGGCUAGAUGGGAAUUAGGGGCUCCCGCACCGUAAAUCCUCUUAGACGGAUCGAAUGCCCGGGGCGUUUUGUCAGGUAUUCAUGCCCAUAAUCUUAAGCGUUGACGUCCUGCCUUAUAUGGCGGGAUAAUAUGUGAACCGGGUCAGGCCGGAAGGAGCAGCCCUAAGCGUAUUGUGCCGUGCUUGUGAGAUACAGGAUCGAGUAGAUGAUUAUGGCUCCUUGUAUAUUUGGCCAGGCUAACCGGGAAGCCCAC